AUUUAUCUAGAGUGUCAAAUAUUUUGUUUAUAUUUUGCUGAAGUAUUUUAUUAACCUUAAAGCAGAGAACGGACCAGUUGAUGUUUUUACAUUUAAAAAGUUUACUUUAACGAUUUUUAAUGAAACAAUAAGAAAAUUCCACCCAAAAUAAAAUUUUGCAACUGGCAGCUACUUACUAUCUUAGCUGGCAGCUUAAAUCUUUUUACUCAACUGCAGAUUAUCUAAACGAUGGGGCAGUCUGGGACCAGAGCACGGCUAUAUUCAGCUUUUACUUAUGUAACGACGGCAACUAUCUUCAUUCUCCUAGCAUGCCUGUCAGUGAUUUUGACGAGUACAACGAGACUUAAACGUUUUUCAGCACUUAAACUAGCUAAAGAGCUGACACGAAAUGCUGAUGUUGGUUCUAAUACUUCAAGCAACCAGCUCAUAGCUGAGGACUCCGCUGUUAACAAUAUAGGACAAGGAUUUAUUUCAAGAAGAUAGUAGAACCGACCAGUAGUACACUAUACAAUGUUUUGACUUUAAUUAUUUUUUGAAGUUCAUGUUUCAUUUAAAUGUAUACAACUGUAUAACAUAUAAAAUAUUUUGAGUAAUAAAUAAAUCAGUUGCAAAAGAA